GACGAACGCUGGCGGCGUGCUUAACACAUGCAAGUCGAACGGUGAAGCGCCUUCCUUUUUGGUGGGUGUGGAUGAGUGGCGAACGGGUGAGUAACACGUGAGUAACCUUCCCCCUUCUUCUUGAUAACCGCAUGAAAGUGUGGCUAAUACGGGAUAUUCUGGGUCUGUCGCAUGAUGGGUCUGGGAAAGAUAUUGUUUCGGUGGGGGAUGGGCUCGCGGCCUAUCAGCUUGUUGGUGGGGUGAUGGCCUACCAAGGCGGUGACGGGUAGCCGGCCUGAGAGGGUGGACGGCCAUACUGGUACGGAGACGCGGCGCAGACUCCUACGGGAGGCAGCAGUGGGGAAUAUUGCACAAUGGGCGCAAGCCUGAUGCAGCGACGCCGCGUGAGGGAUGGAGGCCUGCGGGUUGUGAACCUCUUUCGCCAGUGAAGCAGGCCUGCCUCGUUUGUGGGUGGGUUGACGGUAGCUGGAUAAGAAGCGCCGGCUAACUACGUG
rnacentral:rRNA from 1 species